CAGAUUUCACUCCUUUUUGCAGAGCUCAAGUCGUCUAGACCGAGUAGUCUACGUACCAGGAUAAAGAGAGGCACCUUGAUUGUGUUUCACAUGCUGCUAGCAUGCAUCUUUAUUCACGCCUCUGCUGGGAAGGCUGUUCAUGGAAAACACACAGAUAUCGAGGAACGCAGUGACUGUGCAGAAAAAGAGAAAUAGUACUUUCGUAAGAACAUCAUCGAAAACCACGGUGGAAAAAUUGUCAGAGUCGCGUACUAUUCGGAAUGUUAUUACGUCUGCACGAAGCCAACAAGAAAACAACACAACCUUAAGGACGGAACCGUAUGUGUGG